CCAGUCGGCCGGGCGGCCGCUCCCCAUCGGGGAGAGGAAAGUCCGGGCUCCACGGGAACACGGUGCCGGGUAACGCCCGGCGGGGGCGACCCCAGGGAAAGUGCCACAGAAAGCAGACCGCCCGGCUCUUCUGCCGGGUAAGGGUGAAAGGGUGCGGUAAGAGCGCACCGCGUCGCCGGCAACGGGGACGGCACGGUAAACCCCACCGGGAGCAAGACCGAAUAGGGGUGGCAGGAGGCCUCCGCGGCCUCGCGCGCGUUCCUGCGCCGCCGCCCGGGUUGGUUGCUUGAGGCGUCCGGCGACGGGCGUCCCAGAUGAAUGGUCGCCGCGGGCCCUCCGGGGGCCGCACAGAACCCGGCUUACAGGCCGACUGGCACC
rnacentral:RNase_P_RNA from 2 species